AGUGAACGCUGGCGGUAGGCCUAACACAUGCAAGUCGAACGGCAGCACAGUAAGAGCUUGCUCUUACGGGUGGCGAGUGGCGGACGGGUGAGGAAUACAUCGGAAUCUACUUUUUCGUGGGGGAUAACGUAGGGAAACUUACGCUAAUACCGCAUACGACCUACGGGUGAAAGCAGGGGAUCUUCGGACCUUGCGCGAUUGAAUGAGCCGAUGUCGGAUUAGCUAGUUGGCGGGGUAAAGGCCCACCAAGGCGACGAUCCGUAGCUGGUCUGAGAGGAUGAUCAGUCACACUGGACCUGAGACACGGUCCAGACUCCUACGGGAGGCAGCAGUGGGGAAUAUUGGACAAUGGGCGCAAGCCUGAUCCAGCCAUACCGCGUGGGUGAAGAAGGCCUUCGGGUUGUAAAGCCCUUUUGUUGGGAAAGAAAAGCAGCAGGUUAAUACCCCGCUGUUCUGACGGUACCCAAAGAAUAAGCACCGGCUAACUUCGUG
rnacentral:rRNA from 1 species